GAUGAACGCUGGCGGCGUGCCUAAUACAUGCAAGUCGAGCGAACGGACGAGAAGCUUGCUUCUCUGAUGUUAGCGGCGGACGGGUGAGUAACACGUGGAUAACCUACCUAUAAGACGGGGAUAACUUCGGGAAACCGUAGCUAAUACCGGAUAAUAUUUUGAACCGCAGGGUUCAAAAGUGAAAGACGGUCUUGCUGUCACUUAUAGAUGGAUCCGCGCUGCAUUAGCUAGUUGGUAAGGUAACGGCUUACCAAGGCAACGAUGCAUAGCCGACCUGAGAGGGUGAUCGGCCGCACUGGAACUGAGACACGGUCCAGACUCCUACGGGAGGCAGCAGUAGGCAAUCUUCCGCAAUGGGCGAAAGCCUGACGGAGCAACGCCGCGUGAGUGAUGAAGGUCUUCGGAUCGUAAAACUCUGUUAUUAGGGAAGAACAUAUGUGUAAGUAACUGUACACAUCUUGACGGUACCUAAUCAGAAAGCCACGGCUAACUACGUG
rnacentral:rRNA from 1 species